ensembl:snRNA U6 U6 spliceosomal RNA
GUGCUCACUUUGGCUGCACAUACACUAACCCUGGAAAGGCACAGAGAUGAUUAGCAUAGCCCUGCACUAGGAUGUGCAAAUUCAUGGGGAAAAAAAGUAUAUUAAA